AGCAGUAGCCGCGGGAACACGAAGGGGGCUAGCGUUGCUCGGAAUCACUGGGCGUAAAGGGUGCGUAGGCGGGUCUUUAAGUCAGGGGUGAAAUCCCUGGGCUCAACCGAGGAAGUGCACUUGAAACUACCAAGCUAGAGGACAGUAGAGGAAGGUGGAAUUCCUAGUGUAGAGGUGAAAUUCGUAGAUAUUAGGAGGAAUACCUGUGGCGAAGGCGGCCUUCUGGGCUAUUCCUGACACUGAGACGCGAAAGCGUGGGUAGCAAACAGGAUUAGAUACCCCCGUAGUCCCUGUCUCUUAUAC
rnacentral:rRNA from 1 species